GGCUCAGAACGAACGCUGGCGGCGUGCCUAACACAUGCAAGUCGAACGAGAAAGUCCCUGGGGGCUAGUAAAGUGGCGCAAGGGUGAGUAACACGUGAAUAAUCUGCCCUCAAACCUGAUAACUUGGCGAAAGUUAAGCUAAUACCGGAUAAGACCACGUUUCGCAAGAAACGCGAAAAGGAGUCUCAAACUUCAUUUGAGGAUGAGUUCGCGGACCAUUAGCUUGUUGGCGGUAAAAGCCCACCAAGGCUUCGAUGGUUAGCCGGCCUGAGAGGGUGAUCGGCCACACUGACUGAGACACGGUCCAGACUCCUACGGGAGGCAGCAGUGGGGAAUAUUGCGCAAUGGGAAAGCCUGACGCAGCAACGCCGCGUGAGGGAUGAAGGCUUUAGGGUUGUAAACCUCUGAAAUGGGAAGAAUCAUGACGGUACCAUUAAAGGAAGCCCCGGCUAACUCCGUGCCAGCCCGCGGUAAUACGGAGGGGGCAAGCGUUGUUCGGAAUUAUUGGGCGUAAAGCGUAUGCGCGGUUGGAUAAGUCAGGUGUGUAAGCCCAGGGCUCAACCCUGGAAUUGCAUUUGAAAAUCUAACUUGAGUUCAGGAGAGGAAAGCGGAAUUCCCAGUGUAGCGGUGAAAUGCAUUUAUUGGGAAGAACAUCGGUGGCGAAGGCGGCUUUCUGGUCUGAUACUGACGCUGAGAUGAAAGCUAGGGGAGCGAACGGGAUUAGAUACCCCGGUAGUCCUAGCUGUAAACGAUGGACUAGGUGUAGGGGGUAUCGAUCCCCUCUGUGUCGCAGCUAACGCAUUAAGUACCCCGUGGGGAGUACGGUCGCAAGGCUGAAACUCAAAGGAAUUGACGGGGGCCCGCACAAGCGGGAGCAUGUGGUUUAAUUCGACGCAACGCGAAGAACCUUACCUGGAUUUGACAUGCAUGAAAGCUCUAGAGAUAGAGCCCUCUUCGGACUCAUGUGCAGGUGCUGCAUGGCUGUCGAGCUCGUGUCGUGAGAUGUUGGGUUAAGUCCCGCAACGAGCGCAACCCCUACCUUUAGGCCAGCGAGUCAUGUCGGGAACUCUAGAGGGACUGCCGGUGAUAAACCGGAGGAGGGUGGAUGACGUCAAGUCCUCAUGGCCUUUAUAUCCAGGGCUACACACGUGCUACAAUGGUGUACAAAGAGUUGCAAUACCGCGAGGUGGAGCUAAUCUCAAAAAACCGAUCUCAGUUCAUUGGAGUCUGCAACUCGACUCCAUGAAGCUGGAAUCGCUAGUAAUCGUGGAUCAGCACCACGGUGAAUACGUUCCCGGGCCUUGUACACACCGCCCGUCACACCAUGAAAGCUGGGUACCAGAAGUCAACACGCCAACCCUCACGGGAGGCUACUGCCUAAGGUAUGGCUGGUUCGGGGUGAAGUC
rnacentral:rRNA from 1 species